ACUUGGAUCAAGAUUUCCUUUUCCGCAUAAAUGAAUUACCUGAUAGUCUUUUACCAGAGUCGGUAAAAUUUGUCGAAUAGAUUCAUUAAUCGCAUUGGCUCCUAAACUACCACCAAUAAUUAAGAUUACUGGUUUAGCUGGACUAAAGGAUAGUAGGUUCAUAG
rnacentral:ncRNA from 1 species